rnacentral:misc_RNA from 1 species
GAUGAAGAAGCAGCGAAAUGCGAUACGUAGUGUGAAUUGCAGAAUUCAGUGAAUCAUCGAAUCUUUGAACGCACAUUGCACCUCUCGGUAUUCCGGGAGGUAUGCCUGUUCGAGCGUCAUUUGUACCCUCAAGCUCUGCUUGGUGUUGGGUGUUUGUUCCGCCUCUGUGUGUGAACUCGCCUCAAAACAAUUGGCAGCCGGCGUACUUGUUUCGGAGCGCAGCACAUUUUGCGAUCCAGAUCAACGUACAGCGGCAUCCAAGAAGCCUUAUUUAACGCUCUUGACCUCGGAUCAGGUAGGGAUACCCGCUGAACUUAAGCAUAUAAAUAAGCGGAGGA